AUCCCUCGCUAUCACCGUCACCGU
rnacentral:siRNA from 1 species